rnacentral:lncRNA from 1 species
CUUAAUCCGAUGCCUGUUAGUACAUUUUAAUUCUUUGGGUAAUGUACCGUAGGUUGCCGCAUUUUCAGGCAGAAGCUCCAGCAAAAGUAUGAUCGAUGACACUACUAAUUAAUUAGCAACCAAAUUAAUUUAGUAAUUAAGGCAAGUCAAAAUAAAUUACAAGUACAUAUAUAUGGAGUACUCCAUUAAUUAAUUGGGACUAUUUUGCAUACAAAACGUCAUGAAUCUGGUUUUGUUGCCUUCAUCUCAGGGAGCAGAAGAACAAACAAAUAAACAAAUACUGUAGUUUGGUGCAUGCAAACAUCAUACUUCCGGUGCAAAAAUUUAUAAAAUAUUAAUAUUGAUUACAAGGCGUGCAAGACUUAUAU